GGACAAACGCUGGCGGAAUGUAUUAGGCAUGCAAGUCGCACGAACCUUCGGGUUAGUGGCGGACGGGUGAGUAACACGUGGGUAACCUGCCCUGUAGUGGGGGAUAACCCGCCGAAAGGCGAGCUAAUACCGCAUACGACCCCCGGUGAGAAUCCGGGUGGUGAAAGCUUUAGCGCUACUGGAUGGGCCUGCGUUCGAUUAGCUAGUUGGUGGGGUAAAGGCCUACCAAGGCGACGAUCGAUAGCUGGUCUGAGAGGACGAUCAGCCACACGGGGACUGAGACACGGCCCCGACUCCUACGGGAGGCAGCAGCUAAGAAUCUUGCGCAAUGGGCGAAAGCCUGACGCAGCAACGCCGCGUGGGGGAGGAAGGCCUUCGGGUCGUAAACCCCUUUUGCGAGGGAAGAAGUUCUGACGGUACCUCGCGAAUAAGCCACGGCUAACUACGUGCCAGCAGCCGCGGUAAUACGUAGGUGGCAAACGUUGUCCGGAUUUAUUGGGCGUAAAGAGCCCGCAGGCGGCUUGACAAGUUUCAGGUGAAAUCUCCCGGCUCAACUGGGAGAGGUCUUGGAAAACUGUCAGGCUUGAGGCAGGAAGGGGGAUGCGGAAUUCUGUGUGUAGCGGUGAAAUGCGUAGAUAUACGGAGGAACACCAGCGGCGAAGGCGGCAUCCUGGUCCUGACCUGACGCUCAGGGGCGAAAGCGUGGGGAGCGAACCGGAUUAGAUACCCGGGUAGUCCACGCCGUAAACGAUGAGUACUAGGAGUUGGGGGUAUCGACCCCCUCUGUUCCGAAACUAACGCGAUAAGUACUCCGCCUGGGGACUACGGCCGCAAGGCUAAAACUCAAAGGAAUUGACGGGGGCCCGCACAAGCGGUGGAGCAUGUGGUUCAAUUCGAUACAACGCGCAGAACCUUACCAGCCCUUGACAUCCCGGUCGCGGUUUCCAGAGAUGGAUCCCUUCAGUUCGGCUGGACCGGAUACAGGUGCUGCAUGGCUGUCGUCAGCUCGUGUCGUGAGAUGUUGGGUUAAGUCCCGCAACGAGCGCAACCCUCGCCCUUAGUUGCCAUCAUUAAGUUGGGCACUCUAGGGGAACUGCCGGUGACAAGCCGGAGGAAGGUGGGGGAUGACGUCAAGUCCUCAUGGCCCUUAUGGGCUGGGCUACACACGUGCUACAAUGGCGGUGACAAUGGGCUGCGACCCUGCGAGGGGUAGCGAAUCCCAAAAAGCCGUCUCAGUUCGGAUUGUUCUCUGCAACUCGAGAGCAUGAAGUUGGAAUCGCUAGUAAUCGCGUAUCAGCAUGACGCGGUGAAUACGUUCCCGGGCCU
rnacentral:rRNA from 1 species